rnacentral:tRNA from 47 species
GCCGGGAUAGCUCAGUUGGUAGAGCAGAGGACUGAAAAUCCUCGUGUCAC